UUAUCCGGAUUUACUGGGUGUAAAGGGAGCGUAGACGGCACGGCAAGCCAGAUGUGAAAGCCCGGGGCUCAACCCCGGGACUGCAUUUGGAACUGCUGAGCUAGAGUGUCGGAGAGGCAAGUGGAAUUCCUAGUGUAGCGGUGAAAUGCGUAGAUAUUAGGAGGAACACCAGUGGCGAAGGCGGCUUGCUGGACGAUGACUGACGUUGAGGCUCGAAAGCGUGGGGAGCAAACAGGAUUAGAUACCCUGGUAGUCCACGCCGUAAACGAUGACUGCUAGGUGUCGGGUGGCAAAGCCAUUCGGUGCCGCACUAGACGCCAUAAG
rnacentral:rRNA from 1 species